ACUGAACGCUGGCGGCAAGCCUAACACAUGCAAGUCGAACGGCAGCACAGAAGAGCUUGCUCUUUGGGUGGCGAGUGGCGGACGGGUGAGUAAUGUCUGGGAAACUGCCCGAUGGAGGGGGAUAACUACUGGAAACGGUAGCUAAUACCGCAUAACGUCGCGAGACCAAAGUGGGGGACCUUCGGGCCUCACACCAUCGGAUGUGCCCAGAUGGGAUUAGCUAGUAGGUGGGGUAAUGGCUCACCUAGGCGACGAUCCCUAGCUGGUCUGAGAGGAUGACCGGCCACAAUGGAACUGAGACACGGUCCAGACUCCUACGGGAGGCAGCAGUGGGGAAUAUUGCACAAUGGGCGCAAGCCUGAUGCAGCCAUGCCGCGUGUAUGAAGAAGGCCUUCGGGUUGUAAAGUACUUUCAGCGGGGAGGAAGGCGGUGAGGUUAAUAACCUUGCCGAUUGACGUUACCCGCAGAAGAAGCACCGGCUAACUCCGUGCCAGCCGCCGCAGUAA
rnacentral:rRNA from 1 species